rnacentral:rRNA from 1 species
CCUACGGGAGGCUGCAGUGGGGAAUAUUGCGCAAUGGACGAAAGUCUGACGCAGCCAUGCCGCGUGAGUGAUGAAGGCCUUCGGGUCGUAAAGCUCUUUUCUGAGGGAAGAACGAGCGGGUUUAAUACGCCCGCAGUGACGGUACCUUAGGAAUAAGGAACGGCUAACUCCGUGCCAGCAGCCGCGGUAAUACGGAGGUUCCUAGCGUUGUUCGGAAUUACUGGGCGUAAAGGGAGCGCAGGCGGACAGACAAGUCUGGAGUGGAAGCCCGGGGCUCAACCCCGGAAGGGCUUUGGAUACUAUCUGUCUUGAGUUCGUGAGAGGAAGGCGGAAUUCAGGGUGUAGCGGUGAAAUGCUUAGAUAUCCUGAGGAACACCGGUGGCGAAAGCGGCCUUCUGGCAUGAAACUGACGCUGAGGCUCGAAAGCGUGGGGAGCGAACGGGAUUAGAUACCCUGGUAGUC